rnacentral:lncRNA from 1 species
UCUCAUAUACUUUUAUACAUUUUCAUUUAAAUCAUAAUUUCAUGCAUUUUCAAUUUCUGGGAAAACGGCAAGUAUAUAUGUAUACGGAAAACAAAACUGCCCACUCACAGAUUACAUCGACGUCUCGUAAGUCCCUGAGCAUCCCUUGGCCAUGCCCGAUGCCCGCAUAAACCUCACCUAUACAAAAGUAACCAAUUUGACGUUAUUUAACGCCUAACCCAAAUCUUAGUUAAUAACUCCUCAUAUAUUGCUCAAAUUGGGUAUAUGAAUAUACCACCGUGACCUACACAACCUCAGGAUCAUCCCCAUAUUUUUAAAAUAAUUUUUGGAGGUCUCACGCGCCCCCACGAGCCUGACGUGGCACGGACCUACGCGCCCCCACGCGCGGCCACGUGCCAAGCACACUGACGGUGUCAAUUGACGCCGUCAGGAAUAUUCCGUUAAAACCCCGGAAUAUUCCGUUAACUUAACCUUUUUCCGUUACUGCCGUUAGGAAUAUUUCGUUAAAUAUAACGGAUUAUUCCUUCUUCUUCUCCGGUCGUCCCUCGCCGGACUCCGGUCACCGGAAACUGGGGAAUAUUUCAAAUCCACUAUUCUCCUUCGUUUUUCAUCCAUUUUUCACGUAGUUUAUACCAAAUUGAAGCCCUAAACAUCUACUAUCACGUUGGACUAGUUUUAGGGUCUAAAAACAACGGGAUCAAACUUUCAAAAAUUCAAGAAAUCGGCCUACCUUCGAACUAGGUGAUCCCGACGUCCAAUUCAUGCCAACGAAGCACUCCGAGCUUCCUUGGGACUUCCUUAAGCUCACUGUGAGCUUGGUUUCACCUAAAACAAAGUCAAUUCGAAGAUCAUGAACACUGUUCUUCACGGGAACUUUGAAACUAGGGUUUUCCGAAGCAAAACUUACCUGAAAUGGAUACCAUCGUGAUCGUGGAGGUUCCAGGAGUUUGAUGGUGGUCUUAACUCCGUCGUUGGUGGAAGUUUAAGGUGGUUUUGUGGUGGUCCGUGUGAGUUCGAAGGAGAGGGAGAGAGAACUGAGAGUUUCGUGAGGGAGGAGAGAGAGAGGGACAAUGUACGGGAAUUGGGGAAGGUUUUGAGGGAUGUGGGGAUCCCACGUGUCCAACCCAAUCCCAAUUUCAUAAAUUCCUACAUAAAAAUCCAACUUAAGCCUAGUUUAAGUUCCUAAAACCAAAUAUCUUAGGAACUUUAAGUAAAACCAAUUGUUAAAUUUUCGCCCCUUAGUCCCGUUUAAGGGCAUUUUCGUCUUUUCACGUCCUCGAAAUUAAAAUUCCGGGACGGGCUGUGACAAUCUUCCCUCCUUAUAGAAUUUCGUCCCCGAAAUUCCAGCAACCAACUAAAUCAACCAUACUCCAACAAUAGCUUCGGGUAAAUCUCUCUCAUCCGAUUCUCUUUUUCCCACACAAUUUUCUACUGAAUGGUUUCUUCACAAAACUUUUACCACUUAUACUGUCAUUCUCAGUACUUUCUUUUUCCAAUCCAAAGUCGUCCUUGGUUCCUUAUCAAGUCGAAUCCAAUUUAAUUCUCAAUAGUUGCACCAGAAUCUCAUGUGACGAAUCUGCCACCUAGUGACAACGUAUCGAACCCAAAAUACAUUAAGUACCUUAGCCAACUCUGAAGACAUCACCACUUGUAUGCACUUUAUUGAUUCCUUUAGUGAUCAAAAAUGGUCUGAUGUGUCUAAGUCUUAUCUUGUCUUCCUUUCUGAAUCUUACUAUUUCUGUUCAUGGUGAAAUUUCCAAAAAUAUCAAACCAUUUACCUUACACACUCGAUUAGUGGCAUAUCCAUCUGUUAGUCUCUUUUGCCAUUCCUGGUUACUUCAGGUUAACUUAAUCACAUGAAUACUUUGAGGAGACUCAUCCAUAGUCUCAGGGUCUACUAAAACUCUUUCUUGAUCGAAUCUUUCUCUAUUCAGAAGCAUUUCAUUCACACGACACGCUUCAGGGACCCUAUGGCGUUACUUCGGAAACUGCACAACCAACAUACUUAAGAAACUCAGCAGUUCCGUAACCCAAUUCUUCUUUCCAUAAAACAAAUAAGUACCGUUGCUUUGUCUGGGAAAAAGUUAUUACUCAGCACUGGAGUAAUUGUACUAACUUGGUACAUUGACCAACUAUCACUUCAACUUCAAUCAUAACCAUCCUAUGUACAAGGAAACUUGUACACAUAAUCCAAAGUAAUAUCUUUCCAUUUCCACUGCGAAACAGAAAAUAGUUAUCUCAAUCCAAAGGUUUAUCUCUUUCUGCCUCAAUCUGCUGACCAAUAAAAAUGUCGAAUGGUAUGAUAAACCUUAUUACUUUCGGAAUAUUGCAGAAGCUGAACAGUGUACUUCGUCCAAAAUUGCUUGUAUUCACAUACCAUUUGAUUCACUAAUCAUGUACUCAUUCUUUUUCCUUUCUUUCUCUGCCUUGGUUAAUUCUUAAAUUUCCUCGUCAAACAUUUAAGUUUCGAGUACGACCUUACCACACAGGCCUAACUUGAAAAUUAACAAGUAUAACUUCUUCUCGAUCUUUCAUUCUUAACUUUUCUUCCGUUGGUUUUCAAUCCACAAGAUGAUACUCUUGGCAACGUGCCAGACAUUAAUCUUACUGCAAUCUUUUCACCAAGUGUAUCAGCUAGAACAAUUUUACGAUCACCCUGGUCGUACAAUCAUAUACAUUAAACAAUUCAAUUUACCUUCGCUACCUCAGAUAAAAUCCUUCCGAGUAAUAGAUAUUGAAGACUUUUUGGAUUCGUAAAAAUCUUGCAUUCUUACCAAAUAUAAUGCCUUCAUAACUUCACAGCAAGAAUGGUAAUCAUGACUUCCAAGUCACCCGUAGGGUAAUUCAUCUCAUGAGGUUCCAUUUAUCGUGAAAUGUAUGCAAUCACCCUAACAUUUGCAUCAACAUGCCUCCAAUACCAUUCAAGAAACAUCACUAAAAAUUUAUGAUUACCACUAUUCUCUGGGAAUACCAAAAUACGUGCAUGAGUGAGGAAAUACUUCAGUUGUUGAAUCCUUUGCUCACAAUUUCCUUCCCACUCAUGCAUAACCUCUUUUCUCAACAGUCUCGUCAAUGACAAAGCAAUGACUAAAAACUCUUUCACAACCAUCCCAAGAUAGCCUGGUAAGUUAAGAAAUUCCAAAUCUCAAUUACGACUCGUGGUUGUUCCAAUUCCUCAAUUUCUGCUAUCUUUUAAGGAUUCACUUGAAUACCUUAAGCAGAUAUAACAAAUCUUAGAAUGCCACUUGAUUCAUUUAACUUUAGCCUUUGCUAAACUUAGCAUACAACCAACGUUCUCUCAAUCUUUGCUUCAUCGACUUAAUACGUUUACAUGCUCUGCUCUGGCUCAGAAUAUGCCAGAAUAUCUUCAAUGAAAAUGAUAUCAAUUUAUCAAGGCAUUAUUGGAAUACUUCAUCCAUCAACUCAUAAAACAGCAUGAGUAUCCACAUAGCAACACCAAACUUCAUAAGGACCAUAACAAGUCCAGAAAACCAUCUUAUGAUCAACGUCACUUAUAAUAUUCAAUUGGUAGUAACCAGAUCUCAAUUCAAUCUUUGAAUCUUCGCAAUUACUUCUGAGCUGGUUAAAUAAACAUCAGUACAUCACCAUGGAUAACGGUUCUCAAUCGUUACCCGACUCCAUUGUCUAUAAUCAAUGAACAGUCUCAAGAUCCAUUUUCUUCCUCACCAACAAACUGGGGCUCCUCAAAAGUGUUGUACUAGGUUGAAUAAAACUUUUAUCAACCAAUUCUUUCAACUGAAUUUCCAAUUCCCUUAACUCAUCAUGAACCAAUCUUUAACAUAAAUUUAUACCUGGCAACAAAUCAAUAGUGAACCUCAUAUCUCUGCCUGAAGGCAAUCCAGGUAUACUUUCAAGGAAGACAUCAAGAAAGUCUAACCCCUUUUUCAUUUUUCACACUUCUCCGAGCAAUAUCAUUUAGUACCACAGGAACUAAGUAUUUUUGGGCAGCCUUUCAAAACAAUCUCUUUGCUUUCACAGCAUAAAUAAUGGCUGAACUCACUUCACUUUGCAUGCCCACUCAUUAAGGUAACCUCUGAUUAAUCAACUCGAUGGAAAGUAACUGGUUUCCCGUAACAUUCCAUCUAGUCACAACUAUAAACAAUCACUCUAAUGGAAUAAAAUUAAUUGACCCAAUACAUACUUUAUUACUACUAAGCAUUCUGAAUAAGUACAAUACUAACAUAAAAUAAUCUACCAGUUUACUUACUUAACGAAUCCACGAAUGAGUUAUUAAUAUUACGGUCUGCAGCCCGCAAUACUGAUAAAUCAUCGUUGUCUCGAUAAGUAGGCAACCACUCUCAAAGAUAUAACAUUACUAUUUUGUCACUCAAUGCAAAAUACAUACACUCGUCUCAACUACAUUUAUUUACUACUCUCUAGGUAAAAACAUACAUAAUAAGAAAUAUAUCAGCCGAAGUCAACUAGAAUGACCAAUACGGCUGAUUCAACUCUUAUCUCAAUAAUACGUCGGCCGGAUCCACUUCGCGUGGUCGGUACGGCCGAGCCUAUAACUCACCAAUUUCUCAUGCGUCAGCCAGAUCCACCUCCCGUGGCCUGUACGGCUGAACAUAUAACUCAUCAAAUCUCUAUGUACCCACGGUCAAUCCAACCAAACUACUAAGUCCAUAAACCUGCUGAAUCGAUACUACGAUGUCAUAGAAAACUGUUGGGUACAACUGAUUCUAGGGACGAUUCACAAUUCUGUGUCCCCUCUGUUCACAUAAACACAGUAAUUAAUUUCACACUUCAAAGUGUUAAUUUUGUACCUGUUGCACAAAGUACAUUUCCUUUACUCGAGACACCUUGUCUCAAAUAUCUGGGAUUACCAGUAUAUCCAUCACUUUUACUCUGACCAGUGACAUUAAAACCUCAGCUAGAAGAAUUAACUCUAGCUUCACUUCUUUCGAAGCUCUGAAUCUUUCUAUAUCCUUGAUAUGACGAAUCAUUAACUUUAUCGUCUUUUUUUUUAUUCCCAUUCUUUUCUUAUUCCUCUUUACUCUCGUUGAUCAUGUUCUCAGAGUCCUCAAGGCUCAACAACAUCUCGUAUAUUCCUGGUAAGAAGUAUAAUGGAUAGUGGUCACCCAAAAUACCACUUCCCUUUUUGCCACCCAGCUUAAAACAACAUAACACCUCAACCAAAUUAACAGUAAUAUCUGGAUGGAACGAGGCAAUUCUGAAAACUUUCUAUAAUAUCCCUCGAUCAUCACCUUCCUUGUCUCAUAAUUGUAAACUCUUGUUUACUACCAUCGAUAAAUGUCGGAGGGAUAAACUUUUCCUUAAACAAGUCCUUAAACAAUUCUCAAUCGACUGUUCCUCCGGUGACAACAAAUCAUACUCCUAUUUCCACCAGGAUACAAAUUCAUAACCAAAACCAGGUAGUCGUCUCGACCCCUUGUCAGAAGGAAAUUUCCUUUGACUUGCAUAAUCCGAAACUUCUUUUCCAAAUGGUUAAACCGUCACUUCGUUCCCUCAGGUUCAUCAUUUCUCUUAAGUGAUUCAAGUUCAACUCAUUACCCGUCUUAAAAUGUCUUUUUUUUUUUUUUUUUUUUUUUUUAUAAUAGACUGAAUCACCAUAAUAAUAGUUUCCCCUAAACCGCUAUAUUAGGGAGACUAAAUUCCUCUAACUAAGUGGCUUGCUACGAGGCGGUGUAGUUCUGACAGAAUUCACUAGAACUUCUCAAAAUGUCCAAGAUUGCAACCAUGCUCUGAUACCAACUGACACACCCCGUCCCGAAGGAGGGCAUGCUGGCCGUCACGUGAGAGUGACGUAACCAUUUGCACAGUACGGAAGCUUUAAUUAUACAACUUCAAAGUUAAUACACCCGAAGGUGAGUCCUAAUUUUGUCCAAUCUGUCAGAACACCGUCGAAUUCCUCGUAGUCACCAACACCUUUGUGAUUCCUGAACCUGGAGGGGCACAAAACCAAAAUUGAGUGGGUCAGUAAAACAAUUCUUUUCCAAAUCCAAACAUUUUCUCAAAACGUUGUAACCCCUCUCCGUAAAACCUGUAUACUUUCCCAGAAAUGUAAAAUAUAGAUAUACAUAUAUAUUCUCAAAACUUCAUUUUUACUAUCUCAACAUUUUUCUUUAUCAAUCAUGCCAUGCCAUGUCUAAUUCAACAGUUAAGUAUGGAUGCAUCAACAAUAAUCAUAUCAGGUGCAAGAAAGUAAUCAACCGGAGGCCCUCUAAUAGCCCUGUACGGUUGAACCUAGAGCUCAAAAUCUAUCACUCUCACUCUGCCGGAGUCACCUCUGUGACCUGUCCGGCCUUCUGCACACAAGUUACGCUCUACUGCUUUCUCAUCAAUCAUCUGUGCACAUAAUCUAAGGUCACCCACCAGUCGAAAUCUCACUAACACUCUUCGACUGGCCCGUCGCACCCACUCCGCGUGGACUGUGCGACCAGCAUCUACUUGGAUCCAUGAUGCGUAAAAUAACUUGACACACAAAUUAAACCCUAUUUGUGACAAUUGUAGUAAUGAUGUAAGUAGGGAUCGUUCUAACCGGGGAUUAACUAGGGGUGCUAAUCUAAUACAAAUCGACUUAGAAACACAAAAACUAAACUUGAAGACUUUAAUUAGACUACUAAGAUUCAAAACAGAUUUGAAACACUCAAAUCUGCCAAAAACUGACUAAAACAAGUUAAUUGACUCAAACAGCAACUAAGACAAGAUUUGGACGAAUUUGACAAACUUAUGACUCAAAAUACUUAAAAACACCAAAGAGGACAGAUUAUGAAGACUCAAACUUAACAAAAUAUGGGGGAAUUGUGUUUGGACGAAUUUGAACUAAAUGCACAGAUUGUAAAUUAAAACAGAUUGUAAACUAAAUGUGAUGAAUCAAUGGGUGAUGGAAUGGCUAAGGGGUUCUUCUCCACACAUGAAAUUUAUGCAACGUAAUCGAUUUCCAGUUAUCAGUUCAAUAAGUUAUGAACCUCGACACUCCAAGUUAAUUAGGUCCGCUUAAAUUAACUUCCAGAUUUCCCUAGAAUCAUUGAAUUGGAUGAAUAUGCAUCGCAAACAAAUUAUUCCUAACAAGUUCUCUAUAUGAACAGCAUGAUAAAGAUACAAGUUAGAAUCAUUAAGUUCUUUGGAAAUCAUAAGCAUCGACAAGGCAAUUGUAACUAUGAAAAGCAUGAUACUCCUGCCAUGAAUCUACUUAACACGAUCGUGACUAGCGAUCUUCACUACUUGCAAAUAUAAAUUCAUAACGAUUAGGUGUAACAAACUUAUAUUCUAGCACCAAAUUCCAGCAUGCAAAUCAAGCGUGCACUCUCAAUCAACAUACAAGAAUAAGUUUUGAAUUAAACGGUUAAGCAAAUUGUAUUCACGACUUAUGCAACGAUAACUGGAAGUAAUCAACUUAUUUCACAUAAAUAAACAUGGUUUCGAAUACACCCUUAGCCAAAACGAAUUUAGCCAAUCAUACUCAAUGAAAAAACAAAGAUUACAAGAAGUAGACAUUGAAAUAAAGAAGAUAGAAUACACCUAAAAUUGUUCAACAACUCAGAUUGAAGAGCCAAACAAUUUUUCAUGAACUGUCUCCUUCUCUUCUCCUUGCGGCAGAUUGGGGGAGGAUGAUUUCUGGGGGGUUUGUGUGAUGUAGAAUGGAUUAUGGAUGGUGUAGGGGCACGGUAAGGCUUGGGGGUAGUGUAUGGGUGUUGUGUGGAAGGUGUGGAGAUGAAGAAUGGUGGUGGAAAUCGGCAGAGAUGGAGGAGGAAUGGUUUCUGAGGUUGUGGAUGGGGUUUGACGAAUUUGGGAGAGUGUGUGGCUGAAUGGAGAUGUUUGUGGCUGCACAAACCUGUUUAUUUAAAGGAGGGAUUAGGAAAUUAAAAACCCUAGGCUAAUUAGGUAAUCAGGAAUUAAGUUUAAAGCUUCUAGAAUUAAGGAAACAAAUCAGAAAAUUAAAAGGAAAGGUCAAGGAAAUUCGGCCAGGGUUUAAAGCAUAAAAAGGAAGGUGUUUUAAUGCUCCAAAAAACAGGAAAGAGCCCUCUCCCUUGCACGGCAAGGAAGAGGAAAGGGCAAGGGAGUGUGGCAAGGGGUCCAUAAGGGUUCUAGGCUUUUGUUUUGUGUCCCUAGAAUGCUUAGAAAAUCUUCAUAAUUGCUGGAACUUUUUAGGGACAAUUUAGGAAAAAUCAAACCAAAGUAGGAAACCUUGGCUUAACUUUCCUACUUCAAGUGGGAAUCCUUGUUGGAGUGGGAAUCCUUGUUCUUGGAAUCCUUGUUCUAAUCCUGAUUAGGAUCCAUCUUUCAAUUAGGAAUCCUUCGUCAAUUAGGAAUCCUUCGUUGAUUAGGAAUCCUCCUUCAUGUAAGCACUUUCCUACUUCAACUAGGAAACCUUGUUCAAGUAGGAAUCAUCAUCUUCAAGUCUUCAAAUUCGUCCAAACCUUGGCUCCAAUUAUGUGAUAAUCAUUCCAAGCCCAAUUUUGCUCCAAAAAGCUCCAAAAUGCAUCUUCUUGCAUCCUUUGGCCUUAAAACCUGAAAACACAUAAAACUAGCUUAAAAGACUACUUUAACUAAGAAAACACCAUGGAAAUGCAUAAGAACUAGCUAACUAAGGCGCAUAAAUAUGCUCCUAUCAAUCCAAGGCGAGCGUGUGAUGCGGUGAAUACUAUAAGCACUAAACCAUGGUGCAGGAUUUGAGCUCAAUAUAUAUCAACAUCAUCAUAACAGUAUUUAAAUACUCACCUGAUACUCACCUGUGCGUCCGCCGCACCAAUUCAUACAUAUGCAUCAUAUAUCAAUUCAUAUCCUUUCAUGCAUGGCAAUUCGAUUCACGUUUUUCAUAUAAUUCUAUAUACUUUUCGCAUACUUCUAUGCAUGGCAUUUCAACUAAUAUAUCUCAUAUACUUUUAUACAUUUUCAUUUAAAUCAUAAUUUCAUGCAUUUUCAAUUUCUGGGAAAAACGGCAAGUAUAUAUGUAUACGGAAAAAAAACUGCCCACUCACAGAAUUACAUCGACGUCUCGUAAGUCCCUGAGCAUUAGCCAUCGCCGAUGCCCGCAUAAACCUCACCUAUCAAAGUAACCAAUUUGACGUUAUUUAAACGCCUAACCCAAAUCUUAGUUAAUAACUCCUCAUAUAUUGCUCAAAUUGGGUAUAUAAUAUAUCCACCACCGGUCACCUCAGGAUCAUCCCCAUAUUUUUAAAAUAAUUUUUGGAGGUCUCACUUUUUACGCGCCUGACGUGGCACGGACCCUACGCACCGCCCACGCGCGGCCACGUGCCAAGCCACUGACGGUGUCAAUUGACGCCGUCAGGAAUAUUUCCGUUAAAACCCCGGAAUAUUCCGUUAACUUAACCUUUUUCCGUUUACUUACUGCCGUUAGGAAUAUUUCGUUAAAUAAAUAACGGAUUCGAUUCUUCUUCUCCGGGAACUCCGGUUGGGAAAUUUCAAAUCUUCUCCUUCGGUUCAUCCAUCGCACGUAGUUUACUCCAAAUUGGCCCUAAACAUCUUACUAUAUCCGUUGGACUAGUUCUUUAGGGUCUAACGGGAUCAAACUUUCAAAAAUUUUUAGGGAAGAAACUUUUUCAUUCGAAAACUAGGUGAUCCCGACGUCCAAUUCAUCAUGCCAACGAAGCACUCCGAGCUUCCUUGGGACUUCCUUAAAGCUCACUGUGAGCUUGGUUUCACCUAAAACAAAGUCAAUUCGAAGAUCAUGAACAGUGUUCUUCACGGGAACUUUG